GGAUGUAAGGGCGAUCUGCCUGCAACAUCAUUCACCCCAUUGAUGACUAGGGUUUAUUCAGCUAAUGUGGCUGGCUAGGCAGGUGUCCCAUUCCUCCCUUACUGCUCCAUGUGUUUCCCUCCCAAAGCUUUGCACUUGAAUGAAAAAAGGUUGGCUGUGCCCAAUAGAACCUCCAUCAAAUUAUGGUGACUUGCAUCUUUUCAUUUGCCCUUUAUACCAUUAGUAAAUAGUCCCUUAUAAAUAUCUGUACAAAGCAUAUAUAUACUUUUGAUAAGAAUAAGUAUGGCCUAUUAGAACAGCUGCCAAAAAAU
rnacentral:snRNA from 1 species